GGGGAGAUGCCCGAGCGGAUAGGGAGCGGACUGCAAAUCCGCUGUAGGUCGGUUCGACUCCGACUCUCCCCUCCA
rnacentral:tRNA from 1 species